rnacentral:misc_RNA from 2 species
AACGCACAUUGCGCCCCUUGGUAUUCCAUGGGGCAUGCCUGUUCGAGCGUCAUUUGUACCUUCAAGCUCUGCUUGGUGUUGGGUGUUUGUCUGCUGCUUGGGUAGACUCGCCUCAAAUGCAUUGGCAGCCGGCAAUCUGGUGGUAGAGCGCAGCACAAUUUGCACUUUAUGCUAUGAAUGCCGACGUCCAAUACGUCCACCUCUCACGUUUGACCUCGAAUCAGGUAGGGAUACCCGCUGAACUUAA